UUUGAUGGCGACCGGCGCACGGGUGAGUAACACGUAUCCAACCUGCCGAUGACUCGGGGGAUAGCCUUUCGAAAGAAAGAUUAAUACCCGAUGGCAUAGUUCUUCCGCAUGGUGGAACUAUUAAAGAAUUUCGGUCAUCGAUGGGGAUGCGUUCCAUUAGGUUGUUGGCGGGGUAACGGGCCCACCAAGCCUUCGAUGGAUAGGGGUUCUGAGAGGAAGGUCCCCCACAUUGGAACUGAGACACGGUCCAAACUCCUACGGGAGGCAGCAUG
rnacentral:rRNA from 1 species